AUUGAACGCUGGCGGCAUGCUUUACACAUGCAAGUCGAACGGUCUCUUCGGAGGCAGUGGCAGACGGGUGAGUAACGCGUGGGAACAUACCUUUCGGUACGGAACAACAGUUGGAAACGACUGCUAAUACCGUAUACGCCCUGAGGGGGAAAGAUUUAUCGCCGAGAGAUUGGCCCGCGUUGGAUUAGCUAGUUGGUGGGGUAAUGGCCUACCAAGGCGACGAUCCAUAGCUGGUCUGAGAGGAUGAUCAGCCACACUGGGACUGAGACACGGCCCAGACUCCUACGGGAGGCAGCAGUGGGGAAUAUUGGACAAUGGGCGCAAGCCUGAUCCAGCCAUGCCGCGUGAGUGAUGAAGGCCUUAGGGUUGUAAAGCUCUUUCGCCGGUGAAGAUAAUGACGGUAACCGGUAAAGAAGCCCCGGCUAACUUCGUG
rnacentral:rRNA from 1 species